rnacentral:rRNA from 1 species
UAUCCGGAUUUAUUGGGUUUAAAGGGUGCGUAGGCGGUUUAUUAAGUUAGUGGUUAAAUAUUUGAGCUAAACUCAAUUGUGCCAUUAAUACUGGUAAACUGGAGUACAGACGAGGUAGGCGGAAUAAGUUAAGUAGCGGUGAAAUGCAUAGAUAUAACUUAGAACUCCGAUAGCGAAGGCAGCUUACCAGACUGUAACUGACGCUGAUGCACGAGAGCGUGGGUAGCGAACAGGAUUAGAUACCCUGGUAGUCCACGCCGUAAACGAUGCUCACUGGUUCUGUGCGAUAUAUUGUACGGGAUUAAGCGAAAGUAUUAAGUGAGCCACCUGGGGAGUACGUCGGCAACGAUGAAACUCAAAGGAAUUGACGGGGGCCCGCACAAGCGGAGGAACAUGUGGUUUAAUUCGAUGAUACGCGAGGAACCUUACCUGGGUUUAAAUGGGAAAUGUCGUAUUUGGAAACAGAUAUUCUCUUCGGAGCGUUUUUCAAGGUGCUGCAUGGUUGUCGUCAGCUCGUGCCGUGAGGUGUCGGGUUAAGUCCCAUAACGAGCGCAACCCUUACCGUUAGUUGCUAGCAUGUAAUGAUGAGCACUCUAACGGGACUGCCACCGUAAGGUGAGAGGAAGGCGGGGAUGACGUCAAAUCAGCACGGCCCUUACACCCAGGGCUACACACGUGUUACAAUGGCCGGUACAGAGGGCCGCUACCAGGUGACUGGAUGCCAAUCUCAAAAGCCGGUCGUAGUUCGGAUUGGAGUCUGUAACCCGA